rnacentral:rRNA from 1 species
AGCGCGGGGCAACCUGGCGGCGAGUGGCGAACGGGUGAGUAAUAUAUCGGAACGUACCCAAGAGUGGGGGAUAACGCAGCGAAAGUUGCGCUAAUACCGCAUACGAUCCAAGGAUGAAGGCAGGGGACCGCAAGGCCUUGUGCUCCUGGAGCGGCCGAUAUCUGAUUAGCUAGUUGGUGAGGUAAAGGCUCACCAAGGCGACGAUCAGUAGCUGGUCUGAGAGGACGACCAGCCACACUGGAACUGAGACACGGUCCAGACUCCUACGGGAGGCAGCAGUGGGGAAUUUUGGACAAUGGGCGCAAGCCUGAUCCAGCAAUGCCGCGUGAGUGAAGAAGGCCUUCGGGUUGUAAAGCUCUUUUGUCAGGGAAGAAACGGCUGUGGCUAAUAUCCACGGCUAAUGACGGUACCUGAAGAAUAAGCACCGGCUAACUACGUGCCAGCAGCCGCGGUAAUACGUAGGGUGCAAGCGUUAAUCGGAAUUACUGGGCGUAAAGCGUGCGCAGGCGGUUUUGUAAGUCUGACGUGAAAUCCCCGGGCUUAACCUGGGAAUUGCGUUGGAGACUGCAAGGCUAGAAUCUGGCAGAGGGGGGUAGAAUUCCACGUGUAGCAGUGAAAUGCGUAGAGAUGUGGAGGAACACCGAUGGCGAAGGCAGCCCCCUGGGUCAAGAUUGACGCUCAUGCACGAAAGCGUGGGGAGCAAACAGGAUUAGAUACCCUGGUAGUCCACGCCCUAAACGAUGUCUACUAGUUGUCGGGUCUUAAUUGACUUGGUAACGCAGCUAACGCGUGAAGUAGACCGCCUGGGGAGUAC